GCGGAUGGCUGGAUGAUCGCGGGCCGAAUGGUUCGAGGAAAGUCCGGACUCCAUGAAGGAAGGGUGCCGGGUAACGCCCGGCGGGGGCAACCCCAGGGAAAGCGCCACAGAGAAGAGUCUGCCAUGGUGUCAGCGGUUUACCAAUGACGUGUCCAUGGCGAUGGUGAAACGGUGGGGUAAGAGCCCACCGCGGACUUGGCAACAAGGACGGCACGGCAAGCCCCACCCGGAGCAAUGCCGAAUAGGGGCCUCACGUCGUAAGGUCCGCGCCCGCCGCAAGGCAACAGCGGAGACCACGGCAGGGACACUUCAGCCCGGAGGCCCGGGUUGGCAGCUUG
rnacentral:RNase_P_RNA from 1 species